ACAUAUGAGGCGAGGGUCACAAGUCGCCCCCGUCAUCGCGCUAGGGUUUCUUUUGCCUCUCCCUUUUGUCUCCGUCGUUCUACCGAAUCAACGUCGACGCUUCCGAAAUCUUCCCUGAAGAUCGAUUUUCGUCGCCCUUGUGUCGCAAGAUCUCGUGGAUUCCAUAGAAAUUGUCUAGGGUUCGUGCGGAGCCGGCGAUGUCAGCGAACAAUUCGGCCGGCGGAUCCGGAUCCUCGGACCAUCGCAGGCCGCCACCAUCCAAGGAGUCAGAGAGCGAUGAGGGCCCAUCGAACACCCUCUGGGUCGGGAACCUUCCCGCCGACACUACCGAUUCCGACGUGAUGGCCGUCCUCGCGAAGCAUGGCGCCUUGGAUUGUACCACGAUGCGCGGGUCGAGGAGCUGGUACACGUUCGUAUACUUCCGGCACGUCGAUGAAGCCAAGGCUGCAAAGGAAGCCCUUCGGGAUACCACAAUCCACGGGGCUGCAUCUAGGACCGAGUUUGCCCGACCGCCAAAAGCGGCUAAGCAGAUAUGGGUUGGUGGGUUUAAUACAUCCAUAACAAAGGAACAACUUGAAGAUGAGUUUUCGAAGUUUGGUAAGAUUGAAGAUUAUAAAUUCUUUAGGGAUCGGAAUUCAGCUAUUAUCGAAUAUCACAAAUUGGAAGAUGCCAUUGCUGCUCACAAAAAUAUGAAGGGGAAGCGGUUAGCUGGUGAACUAUUAUGUGUAGAUUUUCUGCGAUCUCUACCUCCUAGAAGGGAUUUGCCUGACCGCCAUGAUUCGAGAAAUGGAUACUUUGGCAACCGGACUUUCGGAGCACUAGAACGAUCUGUUCCACCAGAUGACUUGAGAAAUUUUCAUAAUUCUUCUUUGCUUGGGUCUAAGAGGGAUAUGUCUCAUGGAGCUCACAGAGAUGGUCAGCCAAGCAAUGUUCUGUGGGUAGGAUAUCCACCUUCAGUUCAAAUUGAUGAGCAGAUGCUUCAUAAUGCUAUGAUUCUUUUUGGUGAAAUUGAAAGGAUAAAGUGCUUUCCGUCGAGGCACUAUUCUUUUGUAGAGUUUAGAAGCGUUGAUGAAGCUAGGCGUGCCAAAGAAGGCCUACAAGGCCGUCUUUUUAAUGAUCCUCGGAUACAGAUACUCUUCUCAAGUAGUGAACUUGCACGUGGUAAGGAUAAUCUGCCACCUUUCUCUGCGUUAAGAACACGUAGACCCGAGAUGUUUUUGGAUGAAGGCCCUUUUGGGCCUUUGGAAAUGUUAGGUCCUGGUCGUUCAAUUGCCCUGGAUAAUUUUCCUGGCUCACUAAACCCUAAUGUAAUGCCUGGAACAAAUAUCUUCAAAAGGUCAUUUGGACCACAAGGAUUUGAUGCUCGUCAUGUGGGACCUGAGUUCCAUGAAUCUGGUGGUCUUGCACCAAACUUGUUUGAUGUCGAUGCUAGCAAAUCUAUACCUCAUAGUUGGAGACACCGAUCUCCUUCAGCUCCAGGCAUUCUACCUUCUCCUCCAGGUGUUCUCCAAGCUGUCCGAUCCAUGCCUGAAGGAUGGGAUGGUCUUGACAUAAGAGAUACAAAGAGGUUGAGGGUGGAUACUUCUCCCACCAAUAAUGGUUUACUUCAUGCAAGGAGGGUUGACAGCAGCAAGAUUGGGGAGCACCCCUUUCUGUUUUCUCAUCCUGAUGGAGGUGCUUCUAGUCGAGGUCAACUUGGUCCUGCCCCUCAUAGCCAUCGUGAUGUACACUCUUCUGAUAAAGACUACUGUUGGCGUGGUGUUAUUGCUAAAGGUGGAACUCAUGUUUGUUAUGCUCGCUGUAUACCAAUAGGAAAGGGCAUUGACUCUCCUUUACCUGAUGUUGUUAACUGCUCAGCCAGAACUGGAUUAGAUAUGCUUUCAAAACAUUAUGAUGAAGCCAUUAGUUUCGACAUUGUCUUCUUUCUACCAGAUAGUGAAGAAGAUUUUGCCUCGUACACAGAUUUUCUCCGGUACCUGGGUUUAAAAAAUCGUGCUGGGGUUGUGAAGCUUGAGGAUGGUACUACACUAUUUUUGGUGCCUCCAUCUGAAUUCCUGACCAAGGUACUGGGUGUCAGUGGUCCUGAACGUCUAUAUGGUGUUGUUCUGAACAUGCCACAGCAACCGAUCAGUGUGGCUGUGCAACAAUCACAACUGACGGUUCCUCCCCUAACAUCUCAUCACACUGAUCGGCAAAAUGUACCUAGCUCACAGAAAAGUUACAAUUUUGUCUCCCAUAUUGAAGAUCAUGCUUCCAGUGUUGAUUAUAAUCAGUCCUUGAAUGAGGAAAUGGCAUGCCAUGCAGUGACUGAAAAAUUCCUGAUACCACAUGGGAACGAACAACGCCUUGCACGAACAACUGCCUUGGAACAGGAAAGUAAUGCUGCUCUUGCUGCCUCCCAGUUGAAGGUCUCCUUGACUCCUGAUCUGAUAGCUACUUUAGCUUCUUUUAUACCCAACAACAACCAAUCAUCAGCUUCUGCUGCUGUUCAAUUGCCACCUAGCUCUACGGUGAGACCAACUUCAUCCUAUGCUGGGAUGCCUGAUGGAUCAAUGCAAUCUCAAAGUUGGAGGCAAGAGAAUCAAACAAGUGUUUCUGUUACUUCAAUGGAGCAACAGAGUCUGCAACCACAUUUAGGGCAAUACUUCAGUAACCAGGCACAGCCGGUCUCUCAGUUCCAACCAUAUACUAACACAUCCAGUGGGACUGAUCCCUCUCUGCAGCCGUUAAUUGGUUGUGUGCAGAUUCAAAAUUCUGCUCUUAACAUGCCUCAAGCUCUGGCUGCUCCAACUAGUAUGUUGAAUGGUUAUGCGAUAUCACAACACGGACAAUUUUCCACCACCCAGAGCAAUCAGUUUUAUCAGUUUGAUACUCCUGUUGCUUCUCGUGAUAACUAUGGAAGUUCACAAACAACACAUGCUGCUGAUGUGGUUGGUUCUAUUGUUCAGCAGCAACCUAGACUUGGUUCUUCAUCUGCUCAUGAUCGCAUUGGAAAUAUGCCUCAGCAUCAACUUUACAACCCUUUACCAAGUGAAAAGGGAAAUAUGGAGAUCCCUACCCAAGGGCAGCAGUUACAAAAUGUUUUUUCAAGUAAUGGCCAGGGAACAUCCCAAAGUGAUGAUGACAAGAAUCAGCGAUAUCAGUCAACCCUCCAGUUUGCUGCUAGCUUGCUUCUCCAAAUUCAACAACAGCAGCAAGCAAGUGCUCACACUGCUCAAGGAUCUGGAAACCAGCAGUGACAAGUAAUUUUUGGUGCAAGUCAUCUAUGAUUGUGGAGAUGGAGCCUAAAUUCAGGUCAAAGGACUGGAAGUAGAUUAAAGCCUUCAGGAAUCUGUUUGGAGUCUGCACUCUGGGAUUUUAGUUACUUGUGGGAGCUGCUUUGAGUCACCUAUUUGUUUCUCGCUGCAAGUUGCUGCCAUAAAGGUGGCUAAGUGGAGAUGGGAUCUCAAAAAGGUGGAUAUGUGGAUCGCUAGCUGUCCUCCCAUACUCGGCACAGCAAAUCUGCGACAUUGGCGAAAACAUGGGGAGUUUUUCCAAUUGGUUUGGUCGGACGGAAAAAUAGGUGGAGAUAUGUAGUCUCGUCUCACAAUGACAGGUUAAAGGCCAAGUGUAAUUAAUGUAAUCUCUUCCGCCUGCUCUCUCUUAGAAGAAGACAUUUUGUGUUUCUUAUUCUUGCCUGUGGCACUCGCUGGCACUUCGCUGGAAGUCAUAUGUAAUUUGUUGUUUGUGCAACCAUACGGGAUGCCACGAGCAUGCCUACUUAUGAAGGAAUCUAGUCAUAUAUAAUUACUUAUUUUUCUCCAA